CCACGGGGCUGCAGUGGGGAAUAUUGGACAAUGGGCGAAAGCCUGAUCCAGCCAUGCCGCGUGUGUGAAGAAGGCCUUCGGGUUGUAAAGCACUUUCAGUGGGGAAGAAAGCCUUGGGGCUAAUACCCUCGAGGAAGGACAUCACCCACAGAAGAAGCACCGGCUAACUCCGUGCCAGCAGCCGCGGUAAUACGGAGGGUGCGAGCGUUAAUCGGAAUUACUGGGCGUAAAGCGCGCGUAGGCGGUCUGAUAAGCCGGUUGUGAAAGCCCCGGGCUCAACCUGGGAACGGCAUCCGGAACUGUCAGGCUAGAGUGCAGGAUAGGAAGGUAGAAUUCCCGGUGUAGCGGUGAAAUGCGUAGAGAUCGGGAGGAAUACCAGUGGCGAAGGCGGCCUUCUGGACUGACACUGACGCUGAGGUGCGAAAGCGUGGGUAGCAAACAGGAUUAGAUACCCCUGUAGUC
rnacentral:rRNA from 1 species